rnacentral:rRNA from 1 species
UACAGAGGUCUCAAGCGUUGUUCGGAUUCAUUGGGCGUAAAGGGUGCGUAGGUGGCGCUGUAAGUCGGGUGUGAAAUUUCGGAGCCUAACUCCGAAACUGCAUUUGAUACUGGCGUGCUUGAGGACUGGAGAGGAGACUGGAAUUCAUGGUGUAGCAGUGAAAUGCGUAGAGAUCAUGAGGAAGACCAGUGGCGAAGGCGGGUCUCUGGACAGUUCCUGACACUGAGGCACGAAGGCCAGGGGAGCAAACGGG